UAGACAACGUGGCAACACCACCACCAACAAGAACAACUAAAUUACCAACAACAACCAAAAGAACAACUAAAUUAUCAUCAACAAGCAAACGAACAACUAAAGUAACCAAAGCAACAACCAGACCAACAACAACUAAAGCAACCAGAACAACAACCAGACCAACACCACCACCACCAACAACAACAGACCCAGCAGCAGGAGAAACAAGCCCAAAUGCAGAUCUCCUGAAGGUGCUGAUCCCUGUAGCUGUUGUUUCAGCAGCACUCUUGAUCAUCAUUGUGGCAGUCAUCAGAUGGAAGGGAGCUAAAGGGAACAACACCCAGUUGGACGACAACACUGCUGAUCCUCCAGAUGGUGUUUCCUACGCCUCCAUCCGCUACAAGAAGAAGACCAAGAGUAAAGUCCGGGUUCAGGGUGAAGAUGAUAUGGUGACCUACAGCACUCUCAACACUUCCACUGGGAUCAGCCUCCACUGAUCCCAGGAAGCUCUACACCUCCAUCAACAAGACCAACACAUGAGAGGCCACAGUGUAGCUACAUCUCUCUCUCUUCAAGUUUCUGAUUACUUCUGGUUAGAAGUGAGCUGGUGUAUAUUUAGCUCUCCAUGUCACAUGGUUCAUUGACUCUGCUCUUGAUGUAAACAUUCCAGAUUGGACACAUCUUUAUUUUUGUAUCCCUGAUCUUGUUGUUAACCCGUUCCCUUCCAGUUGAGGUUUAUUUGUGGGAGGGUUUUCUUUGCAUCUCAAAACGUAUUUAAAAAAAAGUUGUAAUUUAUCUUGAUAAUGUGUUAUUGGUAUUCUGGCAUACAGUGGGCUUACCAACACUGAGCUUCUUACUAUGAUACUGCUGUAAAUUUUAAAUACAAUAUAACAAUGUUUAGUCCUCAUUUUUUGAUUAAUUGUAUGAAUACUUUAUUAACUGCUGUAAAACCUUGUUGUCCAAAAGGUGGUGAAGUAGAUUCAGGGUGUCAGACUCUCAAAAGUAGAGUCAUGUGGCUGAUUGCUGUAUGGAAAACAUAUUAUUAUUGUAUAUAUUAUUACAGUGCAUUUUCCAAAAUAAACUUACUUUCAGUAGUUUAACUCUUCUAAAUUUUUUUCUUCUUCUUAUAAUUAUACUCUUUUUAAAUGUAUAUCUGUUAUUGUUUAACAUGUAAUAAGUUGAGG
ensembl:lncRNA